GUGCUUGUGGUGUAGUGGUUAUCACAUCCGCUUUACACGCGGAAGGUCCCAGGUUCGAUCCCUGGCAGGCACA
rnacentral:tRNA from 2 species